GUCAACAACCCACCACUGACCCUAGGGGUACAGUGGGGGCUUGAAAGAAAGCCCUAGUUGACCAGUCUAAGUACUUUUGUACUCCGUUUUUUGAGUCAAGACACCUACAAAUACGACGCCAGUUUGUUGCUCUGUCAUCUAACGUUAAACAACCAUUUGGGAGGUAGUGCGUUAGGUCUAACAAGCUCAAAAAACAUUGACUAGGCGAACAUUAC
ncrna:Microcoleus chthonoplastes PCC 7420 HNH endonuclease-associated RNA and ORF (HEARO) RNA